CACGUAGGCGGACUAUUAAGUCAGGGGUGAAAUCCCGGGGCUCAACCCCGGAACUGCCUUUGAUACUGGUAGUCUAGAGUUCGAGAGAGGUGAGUGGAAUUCCGAGUGUAGAGGUGAAAUUCGUAGAUAUUCGGAGGAACACCAGUGGCGAAGGCGGCUCACUGGCUCGAUACUGACGCUGAGGUGCGAAAGCGUGGGGAGCAAACA
rnacentral:rRNA from 1 species